rnacentral:lncRNA from 1 species
ACUUCAAUCCAGAAUGAUUGCUAAAGCUAUUCCAGCACCUAGAGUCAAAUAAAAAUAUCCCGAGGUGGGAAGGAAAACAUUUGUUUAGGGAAACAUUAAAAACAGGAGAGUGUGUGCCUUGGAGCCAGAGCCCAGAGCCCUGCUGAUGUCCCGGGGCAGAAAUAGCCCGUUUCAUCAUCGGCUCUGGACGACCGCCGCCCGCAUUCCUCGUGGAGCAGAAUAAUCUGCAGCUAGGGGAAGGCCAGGCUGGGUCUCAGGGUGAGAGUUACAGAAGGAUAUGAAAUAAUCGGGGAAGAGGCAAGUUACAGCGGGUAUCCUGAUGCAGACCAUCCCCAGCCAGAAACACAGCCGCAGAACUGAGCCCAAGCUCCAGACCAAAAACUGAGCCCAAGCUCAGGGUCUGCAUGGCCCAGAGCUGGCAUCUGUCCGGGGGACUGGCCCAGGCAAAGUGACCACUGUCAUCCAGUCCAGGAGCUGUGAGCUGCAUGGAAAGAAUGUGAAUGAAGACACAACUCUAAAUGUGGAACCAUGGACGCUAUGUGAGCCAGUGUGCUCCCUAGCCGUCCAGAAAAACAAGGCCCACUUGUACAUUCUGCAAGAGCAUAAAUAAAGCUGUCCUCAGGCGGCGUGCUGUGGUGGCCCAUCCUUGCAGUGGCUUCACUGGCUGCACCCCUCAGCAAGGCCUCUGGAACACUGUGAGGGCAGCACACCCACCCAACAGCGUGGGUAAAAAACGGUCUAGCUAUGGCCUUGCCGCACGUGGUGAUCGCUAACUUAAUUUUGCAGCAAAUUUAAUCUGCUCUGUAUUGGUAUUAAUUAGAAAUGUUCAAAAGCUGGUAAUAAGGGCAGUGCAGAAUGGGUCCUUCAGGCCAAUUUCUGGUUCUGGGUAUUUGAAGCUCAUAUCCCUGCAAAUAACAGGAAGCCACUCACCUGAUUCUUUUAACUUUGCGUCCUGGUUAUAUG